ACCAGGCUUGAUUAAUGGAUGCACUGGAAUUACAGCAUGUUGGAGCAACCUCGCUGCAUGUGUAUAGGUGCCCCACAUGUCCAACUAAACCAGCAAUGAGUUAAACAGAGCCUGAAAGGAGACAUUAUAGGGGAAGAUCGUAAAUAGUCCAAAUACAUCUUAAAUUUAUCUUAAAAUUUUAGUGGUAGAGAUUCAUGUAACCAAAUAUAUUAGAUGUCAUUUUGCUAUAAUAGAUAUAUUUUUGUUACAAUUCUUAGAUAAGUUGUAAAAGCAAAGCAUUCAUGUCAAUGAAGAUCAUAAAUUAAGGUGAAGAGAAAAACAGGAUGUGGCAAGUGGUAUUCCAUAAUGAUGAAGGAAAGAAAAAAGGAAUCCUUCCUCCCAGACCUGUAAGUUUCACAGGAACAUAAAUCCCAACUUAAUGACACCUUCCACAUUCAGAGAACUAGUUCAGCUCAGUUUCAGUGAAAGACAUUUAUAUAAAACCAAUCACAGAACUUUUACUAAAAUCAAUAUUAGAAUAAGCCAGCUAUAAAUAUAGGGCACAAGCUGGAGGGGAAUCUGGAGAACUUGGCAAAUUUAAGACCUGCUGCCCAUAUGUGUACCACCCUCCUCCCUUCUUUAGUCUCCCCAGCCAGCAUAGGUUAGAAUUUAUGUUGUUUGAGAUAAUUGUUCGUUUUUGUGUUUUGGAGUGGCAGCAAUAAAAGAUUGGGCUGUA